CAGGAAGAAGCUUGCUUCUUUGCUGACGAGUGGCGGACGGGUGAGUAAUGUCUGGGAAACUGCCUGAUGGAGGGGGAUAACUACUGGAAACGGUAGCUAAUACCGCAUAACGUCGCAAGACCAAAGAGGGGGACCUUCGGGCCUCUUGCCAUCGGAUGUGCCCAGAUGGGAUUAGCUUGUUGGUGGGGUAACGGCUCACCAAGGCGACGAUCCCUAGCUGGUCUGAGAGGAUGACCAGCCACACUGGAACUGAGACACGGUCCAGACUCCUACGGGAGGCAGCAGUGGGGAAUAUUGCACAAUGGGCGCAAGCCUGAUGCAGCCAUGCCGCGUGUAUGAAGAAGGCCUUCGGGUUGUAAAGUACUUUCAGCGGGGAGGAAGGGAGUAAAGUUAAUACCUUUGCUCAUUGACGUUACCCGCAGAAGAAGCACCGGCUAACUCCGUGCCAGCAGCCGCGGUAAUACGGAGGGUGCAAGCGUUAAUCGGAAUUACUGGGCGUAAAGCGCACGCAGGCGGUUUGUUAAGUCAGAUGUGAAAUCCCCGGGCUCAACCUGGGAACUGCAUCUGAUACUGGCAAGCUUGAGUCUCGUAGAGGGGGGUAGAAUUCCAGGUGUAGCGGUGAAAUGCGUAGAGAUCUGGAGGAAUACCGGUGGC
rnacentral:rRNA from 1 species